UAACACGUAGGUAAUCUACCUUCGGGUGGGGAAUAACCCCGGGAAACCGGGGCUAAUACCGCAUAAUGCAGCGGCACCUAAUGGUGACAGUUGUUAAAGCGGGGGAUCGCAAGAUCUCGCGCCUGAAGAGGAGCCUGCGGCGGAUUAGCUAGUUGGCAGGGUAAUGGCCUACCAAGGCGACGAUCCGUAACCGGCCUGAGAGGGCGGUCGGUCACACUGACACUGACAUACGGGUCAGACUCCUACGGGAGGCAGCAGUCGGGAAUUUUGGGCAAUGGGCGAAAGCCUGACCCAGCAACGCCGCGUGAAGGAUGAAAUCCCUCGGGAUGUAAACUUCGCAAGAACGGGAAGAAUAAGUUUGUGCUAACACCACAAGCGAUGACGGUACUGUUUGUAAGCUCCGGCUAACUCCGUGCCAGCAGCCGCGGUAAUACGGGGGGAGCAAGCGUUGUUCGGAUUUACUGGGCGUAAAGGGCGCGUAGGCGGCCUCCGCAAGUCACUUGUGAAAUCUCCGGGCUUAACUCGGAAAGGUCAACUGAUACUGCGGGGCUAGAGUGCGGAAGGGGCAACUGGAAUUCUUGGUGUAGCGGUGAAAUGCGUAGAUAUCAAGAGGAACACCUGCGGCGAAGGCGGGUUGCUGGGCCGACACUGACGCUGAGACGCGAAAGCGUGGGGAGCGAACAGGAUUAGAUACCCUGGUAGUCCACGCCGUAAACGAUGGGUGCUAGGUGUGGGCGGUGUCGACUCCGUCCGUGCCGAAGCUAACGCAUUAAGCACCCCGCCUGGGGAGUACGGCCGCAAGGCUAAAACUCAAAGGAAUUGACGGGGGCCCGCACAAGCAGCGGAGCAUGUGGUUCAAUUCGACGAUACGCGAAGAACCUUACCAGGGCUUGACAUGCACUGGAAUGUCGUAGAAAUACGGCAGCCCUUCGGGGCUAGUGCACAGGUGGUGCAUGGCUGUCGUCAGCUCGUGUCGUGAGAUGUUGGGUUAAGUCCCGCAACGAGCGCAACCCUUGUCCUAUGUUGCCAGCGUGAAAGACGGGGACUCAUAGGAGACUGCCGGUGACAAAUCGGAGGAAGGUGGGGAUGAUGUCAAGUCAUCAUGCCCCUUAUGCCCUGGGCUACACACGUGCUACAUUGGCCGGUACAAAGGGCUGCAAACCCGUGAGGGGGAGCGAAUCCCAAAAAACCGGUCCCGGUUCGGAUUGGAGGCUGAAACUCGCCUCCAUGAAGGCGGAGUUGCUAGUAAUCGCGAAUCAGCAACGUCGCGGUGAUACGUUCCCAGGCAUGCACUCA
rnacentral:rRNA from 1 species